rnacentral:misc_RNA from 1 species
GCAAACUUGGUCAUUUAGAGGAAGUAAAAGUCGUAACAAGGUUUCCGUAGGUGAACCUGCGGAAGGAUCAUUAAAAAAACUUUGCCCGCGGACCCUGGGUCCAAGGCGCAAAACCCACACUGUGUGCACUGUUAUCGUUCUUUUGGCAGGGGCUUGGGGUAUCUUCCAACUUGGGGAACCUCAACUUCUCGUCUAGCUCUAUCCACCUCGGACAGCCGGACAUGAGAAGCAGUUACUCUGCCAAGUGACCCUUAAAACACGCUUUUUGUCUGAAAUGUAUUUUUAUUCCUUUUGCGAUUAUAUGCGCAAUAAAUAAAACAUAACUUUCAACAACGGAUCUCUUGGCUCUCGCAUCGAUGAAGAACGCAGC